rnacentral:rRNA from 1 species
GAUGAACGCUGGCGGCGUGCCUAAUACAUGCAAGUCGAGCGAACGGACGAGAAGCUUGCUUCUCUGAUGUUAGCGGCGGACGGGUGAGUAACAUGUGGAUAACCUACCUAUAAGACUGGGAUAACUUCGGGAAACCGGAGCUAAUACCGGAUAAUAUUUUGAACCGCAUGGUUCAAAAGUGAAAGACGGUCUUGCUGUCACUUAUAGAUGGAUCCGCGCUGCAUUAGCUAGUUGGUAAGGUAACGGCUUACCAAGGCAACGAUGCAUAGCCGACCUGAGAGGGUGAUCGGCCACACUGGAACUGAGACACGGUCCAGACUCCUACGGGAGGCAGCAGUAGGGAAUCUUCCGCAAUGGGCGAAAGCCUGACGGAGCAACGCCGCGUGAGUGAUGAAGGUCUUCGGAUCGUAAAACUCUGUUAUUAGGGAAGAACAUAUGUGUAAGUAACUGUGCACAUCUUGACGGUACCUAAUCAGAAAGCCACGGCUAACUACGUG